GAUGAACGCUGACAGAAUGCUUAACACAUGCAAGUCGAUGGGGAAGUGGUGCUUGCACCCUGGUAACCAUGGCGGACGGGUGAGUAACGCGUAAGGAACUUGCCUGCGGGACUGGGAUAACAGCAGGAAACUGCUGAUAAUACCGGAUAAGGUCAUUAAGCUGCAUAGCUUAGUGAUGAAAGGAGACGCCUGCGGAGAGCCUUGCGUCCUAUUAGCUAGUUGGAGGGGUAACGGCCCACCAAGGCGAAGAUAGGUAGCCGGCCUGAGAGGGUGGACGGCCACAAGGGGACUGAGAUACGGCCCUUACUCCUACGGGAGGCAGCAGUGGGGAAUAUUGGACAAUGGGGGCAACCCUGAUCCAGCAAUUCUGUGUGCACGAAGACGGUUUUCGGAUUGUAAAGUGCUUUCAGCAGGGAAGAAGGAAGUGACGGUACCUGCAGAAGAAGCGACGGCUAAAUACGU
rnacentral:rRNA from 1 species